UUAGGGACGGUGCAUUAUUUAUCAAGCAGGGGGACCGGUGCAAAUGGUAAGGGGACAUGUACUUUUUUCAACGUGCAAAGUAGUGGGACCUGAUGAUUUUUCAUUAUCUUAAUGCAUGGGACAUACACUUUUUUCAAAUGCUUAAGUAGUAAACAUUUUAUUUUAAUUAGCCCAAAAAUACACACAAGAAACAUUCAAACAGAAACAGAAUAUGAUGAACAAUUUUAGUUUUGACUGGUGUAAAUCAGCCCAUC
rnacentral:lncRNA from 1 species